GACACUAUAGCCAAGUGGUUAAGGCGACAGAUUAGAAUUGCAUUUGUCAUAUAUCUGUUUCCCUCUGGGAGCGCAGGUUCGAACCCUGCUGGUGUCG